ACACAUUAUAAUUGUUAUGUAAAUAACUCUAAUUGUUAUAAAUUAAGAAGGUAAUAGGGUUUUUAUUUUUUAAGGUCUCGUAUAUUUAGCCGAAUGGGGCAUUUCCGCGGAAACCAUUAAACGCUUCGAAGAUAACAAUAUAUCCCUCGAAUUAAUGAAAAGUAUGAAAUCUGAAGAGCUAAAAGAACUCGUACCAAAUAUAAGAGACAGAAUUUUGUUCAAAUCUGGGUUGGAACAGCUCUACAAAGUUAUAGACGAAACGUCGACGGAAGCGGCAACAACAAGUGACAUAGAUAAUGAUGUUAUAUCAGCGCCGUGUAGUCCGUCAGGGCGUGCGUCCAGUUUAUCCAUAGUGUCCAGCUGUAACGAGAACCCGAGAUCUAGAAAAAAUC